rnacentral:rRNA from 1 species
GCAAGUCGAACGAGAUCUUCGGAUCUAGUGGCGCACGGGUGAGUAACGCGUGGAAACCUACCAUUCUGUACGGAAUAACGAUUGGAAACGAUCGCUAAUACCGUAUACGCCCUGUGGGGGAAAGGUCCGCCGCAGAAUGAGGGGUCCGCGUCCGAUUAGCUAGUUGGUAAGGUAAUGGCUUACCAAGGCGACGAUCGGUAGCUGGUCUGAGAGGAUGAUCAGCCACACUGGGACUGAGACACGGCCCAGACUCCUACGGGAGGCAGCAGUGGGGAAUAUUGGACAAUGGGGGCAACCCUGAUCCAGCAAUGCCGCGUGUGUGAUGAAGGCCUUAGGGUUGUAAAACACUUUCAAUGGUGAAGAUGAUGACGGUAACCAUAGAAGAAGCCCCGGCUAACUUCGUG